GAUGAACGCUAGCGGCAGGCCUAACACAUGCAAGUCGAGGGGGAGCAGGAUUAAGCUUGCUUAAUUGCUGACGACCGGCGCACGGGUGCGUAACGCGUAUGCAACCUACCUUAUACUGGGGUAUAGCCCGGAGAAAUUCGGAUUAAUCCCCCAUAGUACUAAUGAAUCGCAUGGUUUAUUAGUUAAAGCAUUGCGGUAUAAGAUGGGCAUGCGUCCUAUUAGCUAGAUGGUGAGGUAACGGCUCACCAUGGCUACGAUAGGUAGGGGGCCUGAGAAGUGGGUACCCCACGCUGGUAGUGAGACACGGACCAGACUCCUACGGGAUGGAGCAGUGAAGAAGAUUGGUCAAUGGGCGCAAGCCUGAACCAGCCAUGCCGCGUGCAGGAAGAAUGCCCUAUGGGUUGUAAACUGCUGUUAGUUGGGAAUAAACCUCGUUACGUGUAGAGAGCUGAAGGUACCAAAUGAAUAAGCACCGGCUAACUCCGUGCCAGCAGCCGCAGUAA
rnacentral:rRNA from 1 species